GACAGAGGGGGCAAGCGUUGUUCGGAAUUACUGGGCGUAAAGGGCGCGUAGGCGGCCUGCUAAGUCGAACGUGAAAUCCCUGGGCUCAACCCAGGAACUGCGUCCGAUACUGGUUGGCUUGAAUCCGGGAGAGGGAUGUGGAAUUCCAGGUGUAGCGGUGAAAUGCGUAGAUAUCUGGAGGAACACCGGUGGCGAAGGCGGCAUCCUGGACCGGUAUUGACGCUGAGGCGCGAAAGCCAGGGGAGCAAACGGG
rnacentral:rRNA from 1 species